rnacentral:rRNA from 1 species
UAAGAGGGGGAGUAACGAUCCGGAAACGGGUGCUAAUACCGCAUAGUUUUCUUGAUUGCAUGAUUGAGAAGGAAAGACGGCCUUUGUGCUGUCGCUUAUGGAUGGACCCGCGGCGUAUUAGUUAGUUGGUGAGGUAACGGCUCACCAAGACGAUGAUACGUAGCCGACCUGAGAGGGUGAUCGGCCACAUUGGGACUGAGACACGGCCCAAACUCCUACGGGAGGCAGCAGUAGGGAAUCUUCCGCAAUGGACGAAAGUCUGACGGAGCAACGCCGCGUGAGUGAAGAAAAGGUUUUUCGGAUCGUAAAACUCUGUUGUCAGAGAAGAACAAGUUGGAGAGUAACUGCUCCAGCCUUGACGGUAUCUGACCAGAAAGCCACGGCUAACUACGUGCCAGCAGCGGC